UGAGACUUCGGUGGAUUUGAUCUAUUUCUAGUGGCGGACGGGUGAGUAACGCGUGGGUAACCCUGCCUUAUACAGGGGGAUAACAGUCAGAAAUGGCUGCUAAUACCGCAUAAGCGCACAGAGCUGCAUGGCUCAGUGUGAAAAACUCCGGUGGUAUAAGAUGGACCCGCGUUGGAUUAGCUUGUUGGUGGGGUAACGGCCCACCAAGGCGACGAUCCAUAGCCGGCCUGAGAGGGUGAACGGCCACAUUGGGACUGAGACACGGCCCAGACUCCUACGGGAGGCAGCAGUGGGGAAUAUUGCACAAUGGGGGAAACCCUGAUGCAGCGACGCCGCGUGAAGGAAGAAGUAUCUCGGUAUGUAAACUUCUAUCAGCAGGGAAGAUAGUGACGGUACCUGACUAAGAAGCCCCGGCUAACUACGUGCCAGCAGCCGCGGUAAUACGUAGGGGGCAAGCGUUAUCCGGAUUUACUGGGUGUAAAGGGAGCGUAGACGGUGUGGCAAGUCUGAUGUGAAAGGCAUGGGCUCAACCUGUGGACUGCAUUGGAAACUGUCAUACUUGAGUGCCGGAGGGGUAAGCGGAAUUCCUAGUGUAGCGGUGAAAUGCGUAGAUAUUAGGAGGAACACCAGUGGCGAAGGCGGCUUACUGGACGG
rnacentral:rRNA from 1 species